UAUCCUCCAUAUCAUUAGUCCCAUGUGUC
rnacentral:piRNA from 1 species